rnacentral:rRNA from 2 species
GGGUUGUGAGGUUAAGCGACUAAGCGUACACGGUGGAUGCCUUGGCAGUCAGAGGCGAUGAAGGGCGUGCUAAUCUGCGAUAAGCGCCGGUAAGGUGAUAUGAACCGUUAUAACCGGCGAUACCCGAAUGGGGAAACCCAGUGUGACUCGUCACACUAUCAUUAACUGAAUCCAUAGGUUAAUGAGGCGAACCGGGGGAACUGAAACAUCUAAGUACCCCGAGGAAAAGAAAUCAACCGAGAUUCCCCCAGUAGCGGCGAGCGAACGGGGAGGAGCCCAGAGCCUGAAUCAGCAUGUGUGUUAGUGGAAGCGUCUGGAAAGGCGCGCGAUACAGGGUGACAGCCCCGUACACAAAAGCGCAUGUGCUGUGAGCUCGAUGAGUAGGGCGGGACACGUGGUAUCCUGUCUGAAUAUGGGGGGACCAUCCUCCAAGGCUAAAUACUCCUGACUGACCGAUAGUGAACCAGUACCGUGAGGGAAAGGCGAAAAGAACCCCGGCGAGGGGAGUGAAAAAGAACCUGAAACCGUGUACGUACAAGCAGUGGGAGC